GACGAACGCUGGCGGCGUGCUUAACACAUGCAAGUCGAACGGAAAGGCCCUGCUUGCAGGGUACUCGAGUGGCGAACGGGUGAGUAACACGUGGGUGAUCUGCCCUGCACUUCGGGAUAAGCCUGGGAAACUGGGUCUAAUACCGGAUAGGAGCCAUAUUUAGUGUGAUGGUUGGAAAGUUUUUUCGGUGUUGGAUGAGCUCGCGGCCUAUCAGCUUGUUGGUGGGGUAAUGGCCUACCAAGGCGGCGGCGGGUAGCCGGCCUGUGAGGGUGGACGGCCACAUUGGGACUGAGAGACGGCCCAGACUCCUACGGGAGGCAGCAGUGGGGAAUAUUGCACAAUGGGCGCCAGCCUGAUGCAGCGAGGCUGCGGGGGGGAAGACGGCCUUCGGGUUGUAAACUCAUUUCGCUAGGGACGAAGCUUUUUGUGACGGUACCUAGAUAAGAAGCACCGGCUAACUACGUG
rnacentral:rRNA from 1 species